UACAGAGGUCUCAAGCGUUGUUCGGAUUCAUUGGGCGUAAAGGGUGCGUAGGCGGCGCGGUAAGUCGGGUGUGAAAUCUUGGAGCUUAACUCCGAAACUGCAUUCGAUACUGCCGUGCUUGAGGACUGGAGAGGAGACUGGAAUUUACGGUGGAGCGGUGAAAUGGCGUUGAGAUCGGAAGGAACGCCCGUGGCGAAAAGCGAGGUCCUGGACGUUUUCUGACACUGAGACGCGAAAGCCAGGGGAGCGAACGGG
rnacentral:rRNA from 1 species